CCUACGGGAGGCAGCAGUGAGGAAUUUUGGGCAAUGGGCGAAAGCCUGACCCAGCAACGCCGCGUGGGUGAUGACGUUCUGCGGAACGUAAAACCCUGUUGGAGGGGAUGAAAUUUCUGCAUCGCAGGAAUCGACAGUACCCUCAAAGAAAGCUCCGGCCAACUCCGUGCCAGCAGCCGCGGUAAUACGGGGGGAGCGAGCGUUGUCCGGAUUCACUGGGCGUAAAGCGCGUGUAGGCGGGUUGGUAAGUCAGUGGUAAAAGCCCUCAGCUUAACUGAGGAAUUGCUGCUGAUACUGCCAAUCUUGAGUGUGGAAGAGGGAAGCGGAAUUCCUGGUAUAGCGGUGAAAUGCGUAGAUAUCAGGAAGAACACCGGUAGCGAAGGCGGCUUCCUGGUCCAUUACUGACGCUGAAACGCGAAAGCGUGGGGAGCAAACAGGAUUAGAUCCCCUUGUAGU
rnacentral:rRNA from 1 species